GCGCCCUUGGUGUAGCGGUAACACACAAUCUACAUCUACGUUAAAAAGCAGGGAGAAUUUGGAUUGGGUCCGGAGUUCGAAUCCCCGAGGGCGCA